rnacentral:tRNA from 1 species
GACGAGGUGGCCGAGUGGUUAAGGCGAUGGACAGCUAAUCCUUUGUGCUCUGCACGCGUGGGUUCGAAUCCCAUCGUCGUCG